CAAUUCUUUAAGGGACACAGAAGUGCGAGGACCUUCAGUGCCUGGUAGUCUUUGUUUUGAAACUGAUUGGAAAUAACUUGCUGUGAAGUGGAUGUAGUCCCACCUGUCGCACGUAGACUUUUGCUUAAAUUCAGUUUGAACAUUAUGGUUCAAGGUCACUCAGCAACGAAUUUUACUGGACCAUGCAUUUAAAGGAAUGCGAUUGAGACAAUUUGAAUUAGACAUUUAAAGUCAAGAGCUGUAUGUAACUGGCUACGUCAGUGGUUUGAAUGUCGGUUUGACACUGCAACAUACAAUAUGUCGAGACUGACGCAUAAUCAUAUUCUUGUCCGCAACAAAUUAUAAAUUUCAAAUAUAUUCAUCUUCUUGAUACUGGAGUAAGGCAAAAUUUGUGGAGUGUUUCUCAGUGUAUUCGAAAUCUAAUUAAGUAAAUGAUCACAAUUCUGCACGCCAAUCAUUACUCAGAAAUAACGGCACUCUCUAUUUGUCGGUUUCUACAUGCUGUUUUUACCCUAAGAAGAAUCAAGUGCUUACCUAGGAGUUAUUAUCACUGAGCGGCUGUAGUGGACUACCAAAAUUCCGAUUAUUUUUACAAAAAAAUUUAUAUCAUUAAAUAACUGAAAUUAAACUAUAACAUGUACAAUAAAAGAA